rnacentral:rRNA from 1 species
GAUGAACGCUGACAGAAUGCUUAACACAUGCAAGUCGAUGGGGAAGUGGUGCUUGCACCAUGGUAACCAUGGCGGACGGGUGAGUAACGCGUAAGGAACUUGCCUGCGGGACUGGGAUAACAGCAGGAAACUGCUGAUAAUACCGGAUAAGGUCAUUAAGCUGCAUAGCUUAGUGAUGAAAGGAGACGCCUGCGGAGAGCCUUGCGUCCUAUUAGCUAGUUGGAGGGGUAACGGCCCACCAAGGCGAAGAUAGGUAGCCGGCCUGAGAGGGUGGACGGCCACAAGGGGACUGAGAUAUGGCCCUUACUCCUACGGGAGGCAGCAGUGGGGAAUAUUGGACAAUGGGGGCAACCCUGAUCCAGCAAUUCUGUGUGCACGAAGACGGUUUUCGGAGUGUAAAGUGCUUUCAGCAGGGAAGAAGGAAGUGACGGUACCUGCAGAAGAAGCGACGGCUAAAUACGUG